UACGUAGGGGGCAAGCGUUACUCGGAUUCACUGGGCGUAAAGCGCGCGCAGGCGGCCCGCGAGGUGUCACGUGAAAGCCCCGGGCUCAACCCGGGAGGGUCGUGGCAAACCGGCGGGCUUGAGGCCGGUAGAGGUGGGUGGAACUCCUGGUGGAGUGGUGAAAUGCGUAGAGAUCAGGAAGAACACCCGUGGCGAAGGCGGCCCACUGGGCCGGUACUGACGCUGAGGCGCGAAGGCGUGGGGAGCGAACGGG
rnacentral:rRNA from 1 species